CGGCAGGCCUAACACAUGCAAGUCGAGCGAGAAAGCUCCUUCCGGUGUGAGUAGAGCCGCGGACGGGUGAGUAACGCGUAGGAAUUUGCCCAGUAGUGGGGGACAACAUGUGGAAACGCAUGCUAAUACCGCAUACACCCUAUGGGGGAAAGCAGGGGAUCUUCGGACCUUGCGCUAUUGGAGAAGCCUGCGUCGGAUUAGCUAGUUGGUGGGGUAAAUGCCCACCAAGGGGACGAUCCGUAGCUGGUCUGAGAGGAUGAUCAGCCACACUGGGAUUGAGACACGGCCCAGACUCCUACGGGAGGCAGCCGUGGGGAAUAUUGCACAAUGGGGGGAACCCUGAUGCAGCCAUGCCGCGUGUGUGAAGAAGGCCUUCGGGUUGUAAAGCACUUUCAGUUGUGAGGAAAGGGAGUUGGUUAAUACCCAGUUUCUGUGACGUUAGCAACAGAAGAAGCACCGGCUAACUCCGUGCCAGCAGCCGCGGUAAUACGGAGGGUGCGAGCGUUAAUCGGAAUUACUGGGCGUAAAGCGUGCGUAGGCGGUUGUGUAAGUGGAAUGUGAAAGCCCCGGGCUCAACCUGGGAACUGCAUUUGGAACUGGCAGGCUAGAGUACGGUAGAGGGUGGUAGAAUUUCCUGUGUAGCGGUGAAAUGCGUAGAUAUCGGGAGGAACAUCAGUGGCGAAGGCGACUAUCUGGAUUAACACUGACGCUGAGGUACGAAAGCGUGGGGAGCAAACAGGAUUAGAUACCCUGGUAGUCCACGCCGUAAACGAUGUCUACUAGUCGUCGGGAUCCUUGAGGUCUUGGUGACGAAGCUAACGCGAUAAGUAGACCGCCUGGGGAGUACGGCCGCAAGGUUAAAACUCAAAUGAAUUGACGGGGGCCCGCACAAGCGGUGGAGCAUGUGGUUUAAUUCGAUGCAACGCGAAAAACCUUACCAGGCCUUGACAUCCAGAGAACUUUCUAGAGAUAGAUCGGUGCCUUCGGGAACUCUGUGACAGGUGCUGCAUGGCUGUCGUCAGCUCGUGCCGUGAGGUGUUCGGUUAAGUCCGGCAACGAGCGCAACCCGCGUCGUUAGUUACUAACAGGUUAUGCUGAGGACUCUAGCGAGACUGCCCGUGUUAAGCGGGAGGAAGGCGCGGACGACGUCAAGUCAUCAUGGCCCUUACGACCAGGGCUACACACGUGCUACAAUGGAGCGUACAAAGGGUUGCGACCUCGCGAGAGUGAGCUAAUCCCAUAAAACGUUUCGUAGUCCGGAUCGCAGUCUGCAACUCGACUGCGUGAAGUCGGAAUCGCUAGUAAUCGUAGAUCAGAAUGCCACGGUGAAUACGUUCCCGGGCCUUGUACACACCGCCCGUCACACCAUGGGAGUGGGUUGCACCAGAAGUAGCUAGCUUAACCUUCGGGAGGGCGGUUACCACGGUGUGGAUAAUGACUG
rnacentral:rRNA from 1 species